AAAAGGGGCAGGAGAUCUUAGGCAAAAACUUCUUACACCUGGCUUCUACUUUGACUGUUCUGUGAACUAUUUCCAGGUCUUUGCUCAAAUCCAGGAGGGGGAAUGCUAAUGCAGAGUCUCUGGGUUGGCUCAUGUGUUUGGUGUUGAGGCCACCAGUCCAAACCAGGAAAGCCCCAGCUCUGGCCGUUUCUUCCACGUGGCAAUGAGAUCUGUGGGUGUUCCUAUGGGUCGGAGAGGAACAGAGCCCUACUGUGGAAAGAAAUUUUUCUUUCAUGCCCAGUUUUUUGAAGGGCACUUCAGGUGAAGGCCAGGAAAACACUGAAAUUUGGUAAGGGUUAGUUUUGUGGUUUGAAUGGCUCUGUCUUUUUUUUAAUACUUCGCUAGUAUAU
ensembl:lncRNA